rnacentral:rRNA from 1 species
GACGAACGCUGGCGGCGUGCUUAACACAUGCAAGUCGAACGGAAAGGCCCUGCUUUUGUGGGGUGCUCGAGUGGCGAACGGGUGAGUAACACGUGAGUAACCUGCCCUUGACUUUGGGGUAACUUCAGGAAACUGGGGCUAAUACCGGAUAGGAGCUCCUGCUGCGUGGGGGGGGUUGGAAAGUUUCGGCGGUGGGGGCUGGGUUGGCGGCGUAUCAGCUUGUUGGGGGGGUAGUGGUUUACCAAGGUUUUGACGGGUAGCCGGCCUGAGAGGGUGACCGGCGACAUUGGGACUGAGGUACGGCCCAGAUGGCUACGGGAGGCAGCAGGGGGGAAUAUUGCCGAAUGGGCGGCAGCCGGAUGAAGCAACGCUGCGUGCGGGAUAACGCCCUUCGGGGGGAGAACAGAUGUGUACGGUGACAAGGCGGGAGUGACGGUAACUGGUAAAGAAGCAACGGCUAACUACGUG